UAGAAGUAACGCCUGCCCUGUGGAACCCUAAACGGCCGCGGCAUUAAAACCGUGCAAAGGUAGCACAAUCACUUGUCCCUUAAAUGAGGACCCGUAUGAAAGGCAACAUGAGAGAAGACCUGUCUCCUAAGGCAAGCCAAUGAAAUUGAACUGCCAGUACAAAGGCUGGCAUAAAUAAGCAAGACAAAAAGACCCCGUGGAACUUUAACAAAUUACUUACACAAACUAAGCAAUAGUUUUGGUUGGGACAACUUUAGAAAAAAUAAACUUCUUAACCUGCUGAGACCAACAAGUCUAAGACUCCAAUUACGACCCAGUUAUACUGACUAACGAAUAAAGCUACCCCGGGGAUAACAGCGCUACCUUCUAAAAGAGUCCAUAUCAACAAGAAGACCUACGACCUCGAUGUUGGAUCAGGGUACCCCGACGGUGCAACAGCUAUCAACGGUUCGUUUGUUCAACGACUAAC
rnacentral:rRNA from 1 species